rnacentral:rRNA from 1 species
UACGGAGGAUGCGAGCGUUAUCCGGAUUUAUUGGGUUUAAAGGGUGCGCAGGCGGUCUGUUAAGUCAGCGGUCAAAGCCCGGGGCUCAACCCCGGCCCGCCGUUGAAACUGGCAGUCUCGAGUUGGAGAGAAGUACGCGGAAUGCGCGGUGUAGCGGUGAAAUGCUUAGAUAUCGCGCAGAACCCCGAUUGCGAAGGCAGCGUGCCGUGCCGCCACUGACGCUGAGGCACGAAAGCGUGGGUAUCGAACAGG